UACGUAGGGUGCGAGCGUUAAUCGGAAUUACUGGGCGUAAAGUGUGCGCAGGCGGCUUCGCAAGUCGAGUGUGAAAUCCCCGAGCUUAACUUGGGAAUUGCGCUCGAAACUACGGAGCUGGAGUGUGGCAGAGGAAGGUGGAAUUCCAGGUGUAGCGGUGAAGUGCGUAGAGAUCUGGAGGAACACCGAUGGCGAAGGCAGCCUUCUGGGCCAACACUGACGCUCAUGCACGAAAGCGUGGGGAGCAAACAGG
rnacentral:rRNA from 1 species